rnacentral:rRNA from 1 species
GGGUUGUGAGGUUAAGCGACUAAGCGUACACGGUGGAUGCCCUGGCAGUCAGAGGCGAUGAAGGACGUGCUAAUCUGCGAUAAGCGUCGGUGAGGUGAUAUGAACCGUUAUAACCGGCGAUUUCCGAAUGGGGAAACCCAGUGUGUUUCGACACACUAUCAUUAACUGAAUCCAUAGGUUAAUGAGGCGAACCGGGGGAACUGAAACAUCUAAGUACCCCGAGGAAAAGAAAUCAACCGAGAUUCCCCCAGUAGCGGCGAGCGAACGGGGAGGAGCCCAGAGCCUGAAUCAGUGUGUGUGUUAGUGGAAGCGUCUGGAAAGGCGCGCGAUACAGGGUGACAGCCCCGUACACAAAAAUGCACAUACUGUGAGCUCGAUGAGUAGGGCGGGACACGUGGUAUCCUGUCUGAAUAUGGGGGGACCAUCCUCCAAGGCUAAAUACUCCUGACUGACCGAUAGUGAACCAGUACCGUGAGGGAAAGGCGAAAAGAACCCCGGCGAGGGGAGUGAAAAAGAACCUGAAACCGUGUACGUACAAGCAGUGGGAGCCUCUUAAUGGGGUGACUGCGUACCUUUUGUAUAAUGGGUCAGCGACUUAUAUUCUGUAGCAAGGUUAACCGAAUAGGGGAGCCGAAGGGAAACCGAGUCUUAACUGGGCGUUAAGUUGCAGGGUAUAGACCCGAAACCCGGUGAUCUAGCCAUGGGCAGGUUGAAGGUUGGGUAACACUAACUGGAGGACCGAACCGACUAAUGUUGAAAAAUUAGCGGAUGACUUGUGGCUGGGGGUGAAAGGCCAAUCAAACCGGGAGAUAGCUGGUUCUCCCCGAAAGCUAUUUAGGUAGCGCCUCGUGAAUUCAUCUCCGGGGGUAGAGCACUGUUUCGGCAAGGGGGUCAUCCCGACUUACCAACCCGAUGCAAACUGCGAAUACCGGAGAAUGUUAUCACGGGAGACACACGGCGGGUGCUAACGUCCGUCGUGAAGAGGGAAACAACCCAGACCGCCAGCUAAGGUCCCAAAGUCAUGGUUAAGUGGGAAACGAUGUGGGAAGGCCCAGACAGCCAGGAUGUUGGCUUAGAAGCAGCCAUCAUUUAAAGAAAGCGUAAUAGCUCACUGGUCGAGUCGGCCUGCGCGGAAGAUGUAACGGGGCUAAACCAUGCACCGAAGCUGCGGCAGCGACGCUUAUGCGUUGUUGGGUAGGGGAGCGUUCUGUAAGCCUGUGAAGGUGUGCUGUGAGGCAUGCUGGAGGUAUCAGAAGUGCGAAUGCUGACAUAAGUAACGAUAAAGCGGGUGAAAAGCCCGCUCGCCGGAAGACCAAGGGUUCCUGUCCAACGUUAAUCGGGGCAGGGUGAGUCGAUCCCUAAGGCGAGGCCGAAAGGCGUAGUCGAUGGGAAACAGGUUAAUAUUCCUGUACUUGGUGUUACUGCGAAGGGGGGACGGAGAAGGCUAUGUUGGCCGGGCGACGGUUGUCCCGGUUUAAGCGUGUAGGCUGGUUUUCCAGGCAAAUCCGGAAAACCAAGGCUGAGGCGUGAUGACGAGGCACUACGGUGCUGAAGCGACAAAUGCCCUGCUUCCAGGAAAAGCCUCUAAGCAUCAGGUAACAUCAAAUCGUACCCCAAACCGACACAGGUGGUCAGGUAGAGAAUACCAAGGCGCUUGAGAGAACUCGGGUGAAGGAACUAGGCAAAAUGGUGCCGUAACUUCGGGAGAAGGCACGCUGAUAUGUAGGUGAAGCGACUUGCUCGUGGAGCUGAAAUCAGUCGAAGAUACCAGCUGGCUGCAACUGUUUAUUAAAAACACAGCACUGUGCAAACACGAAAGUGGACGUAUACGGUGUGACGCCUGCCCGGUGCCGGAAGGUUAAUUGAUGGGGUUAGCGGCAACGCGAAGCUCUUGAUCGAAGCCCCGGUAAACGGCGGCCGUAACUAUAACGGUCCUAAGGUAGCGAAAUUCCUUGUCGGGUAAGUUCCGACCUGCACGAAUGGCGUAAUGAUGGCCAGGCUGUCUCCACCCGAGACUCAGUGAAAUUGAACUCGCUGUGAAGAUGCAGUGUACCCGCGGCAAGACGGAAAGACCCCGUGAACCUUUACUAUAGCUUGACACUGAACAUUGAGCCUUGAUGUGUAGGAUAGGUGGGAGGCUUUGAAGUGUGGACGCCAGUCUGCAUGGAGCCGACCUUGAAAUACCACCCUUUAAUGUUUGAUGUUCUAACGUUGGCCCCUAAUCGGGGUUGCGGACAGUGUCUGGUGGGUAGUUUGACUGGGGCGGUCUCCUCCUAAAGAGUAACGGAGGAGCACGAAGGUUGGCUAAUCCUGGUCGGACAUCAGGAGGUUAGUGCAAUGGCAUAAGCCAGCUUGACUGCGAGCGUGACGGCGCGAGCAGGUGCGAAAGCAGGUCAUAGUGAUCCGGUGGUUCUGAAUGGAAGGGCCAUCGCUCAACGGAUAAAAGGUACUCCGGGGAUAACAGGCUGAUACCGCCCAAGAGUUCAUAUCGACGGCGGUGUUUGGCACCUCGAUGUCGGCUCAUCACAUCCUGGGGCUGAAGUAGGUCCCAAGGGUAUGGCUGUUCGCCAUUUAAAGUGGUACGCGAGCUGGGUUUAGAACGUCGUGAGACAGUUCGGUCCCUAUCUGCCGUG